UUUCUUCGGGGGUACACGAGCGGCGAACGGGUGAGUAUCGCGCGGGUAACCUACCCAGAGGUAGGGGAUAGCCUCGGGAAACCGGGGGUAAUACGGUAUAAGUCUUCGUUGACGCAAGUCGACGAUGGGAAAGGCGGGGAUCCUUCGGGACCUGUCGUCUCUGGAUGGGCCCAGCGUCCGAUUAGCUUGUUGGUGGGGUAAUGGCCCACCAAGGCUGCGAUCGGUAGCCGGCCUGAGAGCGUGAACGCCCACAUUGGCACUGAGACACGGCCCAGACUCCUACGGGAGGCAGCAGUGGGGAAUUAUGGGCAAUGGGCAAAACCCUGACCCAGCGACGCCGCGUGGAGGAUGAAGGCCUUCGGGUUGUAAACUCCUGUCAGGUGGGAAGAAAUGCCUACCGGUUAAAUAGCCGGCAGGAGCUGACGGUACCACCAAAGGAAGCCCCGGCUAACUCCGUGCCAGCAGCCGCGGUAAUACGGAGGGGGCAAGCGUUAUUCGGAUUUACUGGGCGUA
rnacentral:rRNA from 1 species